GGAAAGUCUGGAUUCCCUGCUCCUCUCAGCCCAGCACCCACUGAGCACCUGCUUGUGCUCUGCUCUGUGUAAAGUCCUCCAAACCCUGCCCUUGAAAUGCUCUAGCUGCGGACGUAUGUGAGGACCCAGAGCAGCAUUUCAGGAAUGACUUGGGGAACACAGAGUGCCUUGGGGCUCUGCAGUGGGAGGCUAUAUCUGCUGUGGGGUGUUUCAUGAAGAAAACAGCAUUUGAGUUCGGGCUGGGUGGAUAAAUAGGAUUUUGACAGGUGGAGAGGAAAGGGCAUUGUGGGUAGGAGGGGUGGGUGGGCAGAAGCCCAGAGGCGAGGUGGUGCUCAGAGGUCCACUGUGACCCCAGCACAAAGAAGCACAGGAAUAAGGAAGACUGGCCUACGUGCAGGAGACCAUCCAAGAAGCAAUUGCAAAAGCUCUGUCAAACAUCUCCAGGGCCCAGGAACAAGAAGCUAGACUGAAGCUGUGUGUGGUGGCGCACGCCUGUAAUCCCAGCAC